rnacentral:rRNA from 1 species
UACGUAGGGGGGCAAGCGUUGUCCGGAAUCACUGGGCGUAAAGCGCGCGCAGGCGGCUAUCUACGUCCGGGGUGAAAGCCCAGAGCUCAACUCUGGGACUGCCUUGGAUACGGGAUAGCUUGAGGAUCGGAGGAGGCAAGGGGAAUUCCACGUGUAGCGGUGAAAUGCGUAGAUAUGUGGAAGAACACCUGUGGCGAAAGCGGUUUUCUAUAUUAUUCCUGACGCUGAGGCGCGAA